AGGGAAAUGGGUGGUUCUCUAUCCCUUCUCCAAUUGUGGGUUGCUCUCCUCUGCUUUUGGGAGGCUGUAGAUAGGUUUUAAGUCAUGGUUAUUGGCAUAUUGGUGCUUCAAGAGACAGAAAGACUUGUCUUAAUUUGCCUUCCUUAUUAAUAGCUAUUGGGUUUUGUUUUUGCUACCGGUGUGGUUCAGUUGAGAAGAUUUAUGUCCCACGUGGGUCUGACUUGCUAAGUUGAUCUGGGUGUCUAUU
rnacentral:misc_RNA from 1 species